CACAUUCACACAGAACCAGAGAAGCAAAAAGGGAGAGAAUAGAGCAAAAUCUCUCUCUGUUUUCACUACAAAAAAUCUUUGAUUUCAACUUGAGAGAGAUCGGAAAUGGCUUCUUCCAAAGAACGUGAGAACUUCGUCUACGUCGCUAAGCUCGCUGAGCAAGCCGAACGCUACGAUGAAAUGGUUGAAGCGAUGAAAAAUGUCGCGAACAUGGAUGUUGAAUUGACUGUGGAGGAAAGGAAUCUUCUUUCUGUUGGUUAUAAGAAUGUGGUAGGUUCUAGGAGAGCAUCUUGGAGGAUCUUGUCCUCUAUUGAGCAGAAGGAAGAAUCUAGAGGAAACGAGCAAAAUGUCAAGCGAAUCAAGGAGUACCUGCAAAAGGUGGAGUCGGAGCUCACCAACAUUUGCAAUGAUAUUAUGGUGGUCAUUGACCAGCAUCUAAUUCCGUCAUGCUCUGCAGGCGAAUCAACUGUGUUUUACCACAAGAUGAAGGGAGACUAUUAUCGUUAUCUUGCAGAAUUUAAAGCUGGCAAUGACAAGAAGGAGGUUGCUGAGCUUUCAUUGAAAGCAUAUCAGGCAGCUACAACUGCUGCGGAGGCGGAAUUAGCACCCACUCAUCCCAUUCGUCUGGGACUGGCUUUAAAUUUCUCUGUUUUCUACUAUGAGAUCAUGAAUUCACCUGAAAGGGCAUGCCAUCUUGCAAAACAGGCCUUCGAUGAAGCAAUAUCUGAGCUGGAUAGCCUGAAUGAGGAUUCCUACAAAGACAGCACCUUGAUUAUGCAACUUCUAAGGGACAACCUCACCUUGUGGACUUCUGAUCUUCCAGAGGAUGCUGAAGAUGCCCAAAAGGGAGAUGCCACAAACAAAGCUGGUGGAGGUGAAGAUGCAGAGUGAAUGGGCCUAAUAGUUAGAACUACUAUGUGUAUUUGGAGGUGUGACGACAAGGAUACGCCAAGGGGGAUGUUAGUUUGUUAAGUCUUAGUAGAUACUUCUAUUAUGGGUCUGUCGUGUCAGAUUCUUCACUUGUUAAUUGGUUGUCUGCAACUCAGUGUGUAAUUUGUAUCCCUGUGCUAUUUCCGUUCUCCGUAUAGUGAGUUGUUUCAGUCUUUAGAUAAUUGCUGGUCUAUAGGUGGUUUUAUUUUUCAGAUGACUGCCGCAGCCAAAUGGAGGAUAUCAGCUAUUUGCUUGUCCUCUCACCCUUAUUAUCUCAAUAUCACUAAAUUUCCAUUAUUUUCUCUUUUUUCAUUUAGUUUGGAGC
rnacentral:misc_RNA from 1 species